UACGUAGGUGGCGAGCGUUGUCCGGAUUUACUGGGCGUAAAGAGCGCGCAGGCGGUCGUACAAGUCGCGUGUGAAAGCCCCCCGGCUCAACUGGGGAGGGUCACGCGAUACUGUUCGACUCGAAGGCAGGAGAGGGUAGUGGAAUUCCCGGUGUAGUGGUGAAAUGCGUAGAUAUCGGGAGGAACACCAGUGGCGAAGGCGACUACCUGGCCUGUUCUUGACGCUGAGGCGCGAAAGCGUGGGGAGCAAACAGG
rnacentral:rRNA from 1 species